GCCCCUAGCGCAGACGGCGAAGAACUGGGAUAGAGCUCGCCUCGGCUCUGCUGGCCUUGGCUGCAGCUCUCCCAGAGAGCGGUGCGCCCACACGAGAAUCCCAUACCUGGAUCUCUCUUCAGGGAUGACAUCAUCGGCUCACCCCAGUCUUCAAGGACCUCCUUCUUUGGAUGCCAAGCUGUCACUCAAGUACCUGUGGCGAUACCUGAUGAACAUCUCUACCCUCUGAGGCAAGGAGCAUGGAUUCCUGGAACCCACCAGCAUAACAGCAGCCCCCUGUGGACCUCCAGGACCAGGACAUCGAGGGACAAGGGACAAAGAGGAUCAGCAGUGGUCAUCUAGCCUCCCUCUGGGUUCAAGCCUUGAACCAACGCCCUAGUGAGGGGGCAUUGGUCAUGACCUCUCACCUCUGUUCUGCUUGUGCCUUGAAUCUGAGCCCUUCCCUGUGUGUCUCUGCUUGUGUUCAUCUGCCAGUGAACUGGAGUGCUUCCCUCCCCAAGCGGGGGUCGUCCCUUGUGACUGACCAUGUUGUCCUAACAAUGUCCUGAGCAGAAGGAUCCCUUUGGGAACCUCUCAGGAGGCGGGACCUGGGCAAGGGGCCACCAGCAUCAUGCUGGCAACUCCGUGGGUGGGGGUGCGGUGCUUCUUGAAUGAGCAUGUGGCUGACCCCCAAAGGCAUGCCCCCCCCCACCCACCUUCUCGGAAAUAUCCCUUCAUUUGGGGGUAACGGGGACAUUAGGAGCAACCUCCUAGGGGUGUUGUGAGAAUUAAAUGAUGCAGAAGAGCCUGAGGCAGGGCUGGGCAGACCCCUCAGCAGUGUUUGUUGAAAGGUGUGCAGGUGGCUGUUCUCCCACCCGCGAGCUCGUCUCACUCAUCUCAUCUGUCCUCCCGCAGCCCCUGCACAGGUCUCUCCUUGCACCAGGUAGGGGCUCCAAAAGACAGCAGGCCGCCCGGGAGACUUUGAGUAGGAACUCGAGUCACGUGUGUGGCCAUUUCCAGAGCACUUUCUAUUGUAACGUGUCUAUGUUGUUCCUAUGUGAUAUGCGUGUGCAAAGUGGGGAGGCAUCAUGUCUAGAGAGGGGUGAAUUGGCGUUGACUUUUCAUGAUUUUAAAGAGGUAGGUGGGAAAGAGAACCUGGAGAAUCACCCAGCUUCACUCAUGGGCUGGACUGAAAUUUACACCAAGUAUUUUGCCACAUUGCUGGCAAGAGAUGGGGUCAGAGUUGAACCUGGGUGCCACUGUGGCUACCCCUGACGGUUCCCUGCUCUGUCCUCAGCCUAAAGUUCUUCUAAGAGUCCUUCGAUUUCAUACCAGACACAAUGGUAAAAAGUCUGAAAUCCUAGUUUCCCAAGGGAGCUGCUGGGGAGCUGCUUGGGGAGCUGCUGGGGGAGGGGGUGGUCCAAGUCUGGUAGCAUGUGCUGACUUCAUCUGUUAGUAACGGUAUGAUCUUAAACAAGUCACUUAAUGUCCAAGUUUCAGUUCCUUUCACACCUUAAUAGGGAUUAAAAAAAGAAAAAAAGAAAGGGGGAGGGGAGGAAGAAAAGAAAAAAUAAAGAAAAGGAAAAGAAAAAAGAAAAAAAAGCAAACGAGUUCAUCUAUCCAAUAGGGUUCUUUUAAGACCAAAUGCCAAACCAUGUAACUCACAAGAAAGUGCUUUAGAAACUGGCGUGAAAUUUCAAAAAUACUUACUAACCAAGGAGGCUGUCCCUAUUGCCCACUGUCCGGUCCUAUUCUUGCUCACAAUAGUGAGCACCCAGUAGGUGCUGGGUGUAUUUGUAUUGAAUAGAUAAAUUCCAGAAUUUAAAAUAAAAAACCCGUAGAAUUAAUUCAACAAACAUUUUCUGAGACGCUGACCAUGUGCCCGGCGCACCAGGCUAUGGCUGAGGUACGAAGAUAAUGAGAAUAGCCUCUUUUUGAGGCUAAUUGGGACCCUCAUUUUAUCCGCACUUUCUUUGGUCGCCUUUUAAACCCACAAGUUUUGUCCAGACAAGACAAAAAAACAACUGGGUUGCUUUAGGGAAGCCCAGUUUGGAGUGGACAAUAGCGUCCAGGCCUCUGAAAGGGGCUAUUUGGAUUACGAGGCAAAUAGAGGCAGGAGGAGGACUUAGAAGGUGACAAAUGCAGGGGGCGGAGACCCACUCUAAUCCAGGCUAUUAGGAGGAACCCUUUCCAUCUUCCGGAGUGGCCAGUGGCUCUCACCAUUGCCCGUUCCAUCCUUAAUGCUCAGCACACAUGGAUACAGGGGCUACCCUGGUCCUUCUCUUGCCACUCUCCAUUCAUUUGAUGCUCACAACUCCCUGUCCUGAUCCAGGGCCGGCCUGCCAUCUCCCAGGGAAGCAGAGGUUGCCAAGUGGUUUUCGAAUGGGCGCCCCUCCCCAUCAUUGUCUUCAUGACCCUCUUCCGUUCUAGCAGUGGACAUGGACCUGUGUCGAGCCUGUACUUCCAGUUCAGUUUCCCUCUGGAUUCCUGACUCUGCUGUCCCCACCUGGAGCCCCACUUCCUCCUGUCCUCCUUCCUCGCCACUCCAGUGUCUGUCUGUCUUUCCUUCACAGCCCGGCUUCUCGAGGCCUGUCUACACUCGCUGCUUUCCUUCCUCACCUCCAAUUUCCCCUCCAACCCACUGCUUCCUGAUCCGCUCUUCUCCAUCGAACGGCUCUCGCGCAGUGUUACCUCAGUUGCCAGCAGCCUCCUGGUGCCUGUUGGACAAUCUCUGCCUGGUUCUUCAUCUCCCACGGACUGAUUUCCAGGGUCUGAGUGAUCAGGGGCUUAAACCAGGUUUAUGACUCGGUCCGCUGGCCCCGGAGACCCAUCAUCGUCGUCGUUCCCUGGCCUGUCGCGUCUUCCUGUGCCAUUUCCUGUUAUGCUCAGGUUCUACGAGCCGCCCAUCUCCACAGAAGAGCAGCUGGCAUUGCCCACCAGCCAUGCUGGCUGAAGAGCAAAGGACGGAGGACCCCGGGACGCACAGUGCAAGGACCCCACGAUGAUGCCCAGCGCGAGGACCCCACGUCGCCCAGCGCGAGGACCCCAGGACGCCCAGCGCAAGGACCCCAGGACACCCAGCGCGAGGACCGAGGACACCCAGCGCGAGGACCGAGGACACCCAGCGCGAGGACCCCACGAUGCCCAGCGCGAGGAUCCCACGGCACUCAGCAGAAGGACCUCCUGGAUCAGGCCAAAGUCAUCACCCAGAAUCCUGCGUGGGACCCUGGACACACGGACACGGACACAUGCCCCCAGGACCCUCCAACUGUAAAUCGAUGGAAGCGCCCUUGUGAGUUGGGGCCUUCAAAGGGCUGAGGAGAAAAUGCAGACCGAGGGACCAGCUUCUCAAAUAGGCUUCAAGCCUCCAUGACCUGAGCUCACCCCCUGGAAAUGUCUGGAAAACAAAAUGGGCAGGUUUUCUGUCUUCAAAGUUCCCAUCUAACCCUCUUCAAGUUCUUUAUUGUUUGGGACUGAGACACUUGGGGAUGGUAAUGGGGACUUUCUUUUGUAUCCGUCUUGAAAGGCCAAAAUAUUUUUAUAUUGCUGUAGACAAAGCCAUCUAUUUACAAAUGAACUCUAUUCUGUCGUUUCCCACCGGGAAGACUGUACCAUGUUUGUGUCUUGAUGUAUUCUGGGGUCUUGAAACAGGUCUCUCAUGGGGAUGGCCAUUCACUGGGGCCCAGAGGGGCAGAAGGGGAAGUGUCUACCCUGCCAAAGGGGUUUGUGGAAGGGGGGCCCUAGUCUCAAAUCUGCUGCUUGUAUGUCUAGGGGUGAGCCCUGGGAGAAUCUGGUGCUAAAAGAACAUAUGCUGUGUUUGCUCCACAUCUGCCAUUUGUGUUUGUUUCUGGGCUACGGGUUUGCAUACUCCGGUGGUUAACGUGGUGGGAGGAAGUAGGAAGAUCCAAGAGGACGUGAAUGCUCCGGGUUUUGUGUCUGGAGGCUGUCUCUCUGGUGCGUGUUACAUCAUAUAACACACAUUUAGAUGGGUGGAGAAUCAAGCAUGAAGGAAUAGAGAAGCAAAUAGGUAUAGAAAUGAGGUGAGCAAGUCAGGAUGGCACACACAGCCGUCGUUCAGUUUCUUUGGUCCUAGGCAAUCAAUAUAUGAAUUAAUAAAAUGCCACACCAAUAUGUAUAUAGGACCCCAUACAAACGGGUAUCGGAUCAGCAUGGGCCUAAGACAUUUUUAAUUAAAGAAGGAAUCUUAAAUAAAAGAAGGAAGGAGACGUGGAACUGUCUAAACCAACACCGAGGUUCCAAGGCCCCUUAAUAUGAACAGUUGGAUGAUGAUGGGAUCCAAGAGAGAAAGAGGCAGGAAAGAAAGAAAACAAACAGAAAAGGAUAAACAGCAGCAGCAACGCAAGGGGAUGUGGAACGAUGCAUGGAGACCCCAGCUGGGUUGGUAUCAGGGUGCUGCUUAAUUAAUCUCAUCUGGGCACCCUGGCCCCACGGUGGGUUAGGGACAGCAAGGGAGAAAGCCAGGACACAUAGAAAGUGGUAACAAGAGGGGUAGUAUAGGAAGAAAAAGAAAAAAGAAGAAACAAUUCAUUAGGCAGACAGAUGAGUAGCUUCAUGGGAGAGUUAAGCUAGGAUUCAAAAUCUGAACACUUAAUUCUACUGGCAGAGACUUAAAUACUUAAAGGAAAGAAAGCAGGAAGGCAGGAUGGUAGAUGUGAAUGCAUGAAGGAGAGAAGGAGGCAGGGGUCUGUGCAAGUCACAGAAGGACUUUUUAGGUGGCUCUUGUCCAGCAGCUUAUGUAGCUGAGAAAGACAAUGCGGAGCGGGGCAAGGAAAGAAAUGUAAAUUCUAUCUCAAGAAGAAAAGGUAACAAUGUGCCCCCAGAUCGGUAGAUGAAUACAGAUAGAAGACAGAGCCCUGCUCGGGAUGGGACGGAAGGCUGGGCCAGCAGACUGGUUAUUUCCCAUCUGUGUUUCUCCGAUGGACAAUGACCCACCCAGCCAAGAGACCUUUCAGGCAUCAAUAUGUCAGGGAGGGCUUCAAUGGGGCUGUGGAGGGGAGGCCCAUUAAUAGCAGAUUAUGAUGUAUCCAAUUAGGCGCACCUGCCCUCUGGAAGGGUAGAAACCAGCAUUGAAACAGAAAGAAAGACCGAAUGGAUGGCUGAGUGCACGAAUGAAUGAAUGAGAAAAAAGAUUGGCAUUCACUCUAAGGGGGAGGGCGCUGCAGAGCCCAAGGGUCAUCUGAUCUCCCGGAGGAUAAAAGGGCGAAAGAGUGGAGAAAGUAACAAUAAGAUGGGGGGAAAUGAAAAGACGCAUAGAAGAUAAUAAGUGGGGACAAUUAUGUCUAGGAGAGAGGGCUUGUUUAACACAAGUCAUCCAUAUUAAUUCAAAAUUGAGGCCCUGGGCUGGGGUGCGGCUCAGGGAUGGAGCUGUUGCCUAGCAUGUGCCAAGCUCUGGGUUCCAUCUCAGUGUGGAAAAGCAAACACAAAGAACACAAUUAUGGCCCCCGAUGUUGUAAAUGACGACGAUGAUGGUGAUAAUGGUGAUGGAGGGGAACAAAGAGGUAGAUAAAUUAGAAGAGGGAGGGAAAAAAAGAUGUUGAAAAAAAUUUAGAUGGACGAACACAUAGGAGAAAAAGCAGUUAUUAGCUAAGUAUUUAAAUACGAUGAAUACAUAUUAUCUGUUGAGUGUGUUAAAUAAUAGGAGUGAAGACUUACCCAUUUAAAAAAAAAACAAAUAUUGAAAAGAAGCAAGUUGAAGAGCGAGAACUGAUGCUGCGGUUCAAACCGUGUAAUAGCUAAGACUGUGCAAAGGAAUAUAGAAAAGAGACAGGACAGACGGACACAAUGAAAAGGUUGAGGGCAUAAAUGAAUAUACAUGGAGACAUGUGCCUGAGAGGGCCAUACAGGGUUGAGAGGGAGAGAGAGGCAGCAAGAAUUAUGAUUAAUUCAAAACUGGGCUCUUGAGAUAACUAAAUGUCCCCUGAACCAAAGCGUCAGCACAAGGAAUUAAAGAACAAAAGAGCUGCAGGCAGACCCAUGCGGAGAAGGCUUGGGACCCUCAGAUCAUGCUUAAUCUAAAUCUGUGCACCUGAGGUCCAUAAAUAAAAGAAUAAAUAUUGAAAUAAAAGAGUGACAGAAAGAAUGAAUGGGUACACGAAUGACUGAAUUAGAAAUGGGAAUGGCUAGGGCAGCCAGGAAGGAGCUGCCCUUGGGAGUUUUGCUCAUCUUAUUCUGAGCACCUGAGGUCCCUUAGUAAAAAGAUGCAAAGGAGAAGGGGAGAAGGGAAAAGGCACAAGGAGAGAAAAUGCAAGAGGAGGAAAUGAGAAACGAGUAAGAGAGGAAGCAAUAUGGGGAGCCUCACAAGAGAGAGAUCCGUGAGGAUUAGCGAUGAGGGUCUCAUUAAUCCUAAAGAUCGAUGAGGUAAUCCAGUCCCAGGUUCUUACAGGGAGAGAGAAUGGAGAGAAUUAAAAAAAAAAAAAAAGAUGCAAAAAGGAGAGAAAGAUAAUAAAACAAGCAACAUGAUAAAUGGGUGAUUAAGAGAGGCUGUCGGGACAGAAACGGUAAUGAGUUCCCAUGCAUAGUCCUUAAACAGAUAAAUACAUUACACCUUUCAAAGGACGUGUGAAAAAUCCAAGACCACCAUGGCCCCCAAACAAGGAAGCACCUUCCGUUGUAAUAAAAUACAUGCAGUGGAGGGCCAUAAAUAGCAGUAAAUACUUAAACGUAAAAGGUGACCAGACACAGGGAAGAAGAUUGCAGGCACAGAUACAUGAGGGGGGCAAUGUUUGUUCUGCACGUGGGAUUUUGAAUAAUACAAUUAUGUUUACAGGAAAUUAAUAGGUGAAAAAAAAAAUCUCAAACUAAGAUACAAGAAGGACAAGGACAGGAAGAAAGACAUGGGAGACAGGGUGGAAACUCGGGAUGGGCUGGGCAUGCCUUGUUCCAUUCUGCACAUCCGGGCUGAUAAAAAUGAGACCAUCAGGAGCAGUAAAAGACAGAAAGCUGGGGGGGGGGGCGGGCAGGAAUAGGAAAGAAAUGAAAACAUCUUGGGAAAAAAAGAAAGAGGGAUUUGCAAAGAGAGGGCUUCGGAGAUCUGACGAUUAUGGUUCAUUUAAAGCUGUGCCAUUGGUGUCCCCAAAGGAAUCAAAUCUUAAGGAAGGUUUUUGUGAAUGAGGAGAAGAGGACAAAAAUAUAGAAGGAAAAGAAGGAGAGGGGAAAGGCAAGGAGAGGGAGGAGGUAGCGCAUGCUGGGCGCUGAUUGAGGUUGGUAAUGGAUAGCUAUUGGCCACCCACCCACCACUUCCACACAACCUAACUGGCUGGGGGCAGCUCACUGAGGAAGGCUUGGACCACCAUUGCCAUUUCCUGGUUGUGUGGGCCAUUUCAUUGUCUGUCAUUUCCUCAGCCUGAAGAUACAUUUUUGCACAGUGCCCUAUCCAUAGAUAUGGAUAGGUGGGAAGGGUUUAGGCCUGGGCCCUGUAGAUGGUUGAAUGUGAAACCCAGUGGGUAUCUUGACCCCUUCCCGGGCAAGGAUUUCUUGUGAUCCUUCUAUGAGGGGACUUUGCCAACCAAGGGGCAGGAGGAGGGCAGGGGGCAGGAGACCUUGACUGUUGCAUAUCAUCUCGCGUGUGAGUCACAUCCGGGGUCUCGUGCAGGGUGGUGAGGGGGACCUGGAAGGCCUGAGCUCCAAGAAGCACUAGGGUGCUUGUUCUUGCAGCUCUCUGAGAUGUACCCAGGGGGCGCUAUUCCAUCUCAGCGCAGGGUUCUUGGCAGCUGCUUCAUUCUGGGCUUUCAGACAUGAUCUUGGGUCCCAGCUCCUAUACAUGCCACCCCUGGAGCCCGUUUCAAGGCCUGUCUUCUAGGAUGUUGAAAGAUAUGUUCUGUAACCAGCAAAAAGUGCCUUCGUUGUACUGUGUGUUGAAACUGUCUUCUCGCUUGCCCCCAUGGGCUGCAUCGGGGAGACUUGGAGAGUUGUUUGUUCUGGUGUUCCCCUGGGACUCUCUGCUUCUGUUCAUUUUUCUUUCUCUGUUAUGGACCAGAUUUGCACAGUUGUGUGUUGUGUGCUUGUGUCUUUCAAUUAAAACGGAGUCAUAACCCCCUUUGGCUUCUUAAUUCCUACUGGGGACAUGAAAAAAAAAAUUGGUUGUUACCAAGUGCCCAGGCAGGAGAGGAAUAGCUUGGCGGGAUCCAGGGAGCAUGUGCAGACCCCGGAACAAGGUAGACGGAUGGGCUAUGGCAAGCGGGAUCUGGUCAGAGCCAUGUGCAGGCCCAGCUGAAAGAGGGCAUGGCAGGUGGAGUGGGCAGGGCUGCUGCUACCCCUGAGCUGUUGGAGGUCAGAGAGGUCAAAAAGGAAGAGGGGCCCCAGGACAAAGAGUUCCCCUCGAGUCUCUAGGAUUGCAGGCAGGAUGUGCUGGAGGGAGCUGGCUGAAGAAGGAAGAUGGGUGCUCUCUCCACUUUUAGCUUUUUAGUGUAGGCCCUGAAUAGAUGGCAACAGCCUCCGAUCGUGGAAGACAGGGACUUCACGUGUCAGAAGCCACCUUCUGUGCCCCCAGCACCACGUGUCUGGGCCACGUGAGCAAUGUCACGUGGGCCUGACGUGGAGCUGGGGCCGCAGGGGUCUGCUGGCCUGCUCUAUCAGAAUCUGGGGUUCCAGGCUCUGCCUCGGCGCUUAUCCUCCCUGGGAACACCUGCUGACCUGGCUCCUGAAGAUUGCCCAGAGAAGUCCAAGUGACCCUAUGAGAUGAGAGGGGUGGGUGGAGAUGCUCGGAAGGAGGAGGCUGGGAGGGCCUUUGCGUGCGUGUGACUUCUAUGCAGGUGCUAGAGAGUAGGGCAAAGCUGCAAGAUGGCAGGCGUGGGGGUUGGGUGAGGAGAAGGGCAAGGCCACAUAGUGGCGACAGGCGGGAAGGCAGUGACAUGGCAGCAUGGCUGGGUCUCUAGGGAGGCUUUGUUUCAACAUGGCAGGAGCUUGGAGGGAGCAUCCUGGGUUACUUUGGGCCAUUGGGACCCACUGUUGCCUUGGAGGGCAUAAGGGCUUGGGUAGGUGACUUUGCUGUCACCUUGGGACUAAUGAAGUGGAAAUUCAGCUGUUUGGAGUCUUUGACUCUUAAUUGGAUCCGGAAUUGCAAGGGUCUCUAGUUCUGGGGUUCCGGGAGUCAGAGUAGAGCGCCCCAGGACACAGUACAUGGGCAGGGAGGAUGGUCUGCACGUGCUCCCAAGUCAUGGACCCAGCACCUCUGCCUGUUUAGGGCUAGCUUAGACAUUUUUUUCUUCCAACAUGAUAAAACAAGGCAAAUUUUGUCUUCUGAUUGAUACUCAUGAGCACUACACAAAGUCCUUCCCCUGAUGAUAUGGGGACCUACAGCUCUCCUAGGCUCCCCCAUGACCUCCAGCCCAUCCUUGGGGCAGGUGGGCCAAAGCCCCUGGUGUUUUCUAAGUUGAAGGUGUCAAUGUAAAGAUGUGUAACUCAGAGCAGGGGGAAGCACCCCCUCAUUCCUCCCUUCAUGUGCUUCAUCUUUCUGCUUUCCAAAUUCUUCUCUUAUGAACACUUUUUUUUUUCUUUUUAAUGAACAUCCAUUUUUUUUAAAGUCUCAUUGGCAUUUUCCACUCUUUUGUUGUUUCCCAUCUGUGACAAUGAACAUCUUGUCCAUAUUUUCUUUGCUCCACAGUCUCUCUCACCUCCCUGUUUGGGGAUCCACUGAAUGGCUAUGACAUCAUGGUCUAUCCAUCUGACCAUUGCUGGUGCACGAUCAUCUCUUUGUUUAUGUCACAAUUGACAUCACGACUAACGACUUCGCAUGACCAGCUUUUCCAGCCUUUUCAAGUACUUCUCGACAUCUAGUUCUUACCAUGGCCUCCAUCUUUCAUGUUCCAUCCCUCUUUCUGUUAGACUGUGAGCCCGUUCAGGGCAAGGAUCUUCUGGGGCUGACCUCUGUAUCUCUUGUAGGAUGUAUAUGAAUGCUUGCUCUGUGUGUGUGUGUGUGUGUGUGUAAGGGCAGACAGGUAUGAGUGACAGAGUGAUUGAGUGAUUGGCAGGCAGAUGAGAGGAUGGAUGAGUGGAUUAGUGAAUGAAUGAAUGAGUGGGUGAAUGAAUGGAUUCUCUGUGUGUGGCUGAGCUUCCUGGAUGAAAGGUUAGGGGUGUCUGUAUGGCUGUUGAUUGAUUUCAGAAGGUCUAUAGUAUUUUAUCAAUGAUGUAUUAGUAUUUAAGGUGAUGUAUUAGUGUUUAAGAUAUCUGUUAGCUUUUUCUCUGUUAAUGCUUUCAUGUGUUUUAAAGCUUGUUCUAAUUACUAAUGAAGGCUGAACACUUUCACCCAUGUUUGUUGACAUAUUGUAUCUUAAUCUUCUGUGAACUGUUUGUCCAAGUCCAGUGGGUCAUGGCUUCUUAAGGAGAUCCAUCAGGGGUAUCCUUAUGUUAGGUGAGGGCAUCUCUCUCUGGAGACAAUCCUCUUGGAAAGGGACUUUCAUAGGCAUCUAUAGUGUGGUGUGAGGAGGUCCAGGUCAGUUUGACUUUAGAAUUUGCUUACCCUGGGGAAAAGGGACGGUUAUAUCUUCCACUGGCAGGGAGGGGACAUUUUUAGGCUUGCAUCUGGGUGUCUCAUGGCUUUACAGCUUAGGAGCCCUCAUCUGUCCUGUACACCUCUUGUGGUUUAGCAGUCCUAUAUCUUGUCCCACUGAGUGAUGGACUGCCUUUCCGCCUAUCCUCCUAUUCUUCUAGGAGUGCAGACUCUGAAACCAGUUCUUACAGGAAUUGGGUUCUUAGUGUUCUAUGCUGUGUCUGCACACAUCCCUUAGCUCUGGCCUGCACUUGUGCCUCAAUGGCAUUUGUGGACUUUCAGGAAUGAUUGGGAAGUUCAGUUCAGGACUGAUGUGAACCACCUCAGGUUUAGUCCUGGGAGCAAGGCCAUCCUGUGGUCUCUGCUCUUCUCAUGACCUCCUCACAGAGCAGUUACUGCCAUUCGGUUAGGGAGUGUACUCAAAGAGAGCUCAUCCCUGCCUUCAGGAACACUCGGGUACCCCUCUACUAUAGCACUUAGCAUGUCUGCCUGUGUUCAACCCUCUCACCCCAUGCUUACCUCAACAUAAAGCUUGGGAAGCCAGUGGUGAUUUUCAACAUGACUUUAAUCCAUCCACACAUUCAUCUUGUCAUCUAUCCAGCAUCCAUCCAUCCAUCCAUCCAUCCAUCCAUCCAUCCAUCCAUCCACCCACCCACCCAUUCAUCCAUCCAUCCAUCUACCCAUCUACCAUAUCCAUCCAUCCAUGCAUCCAUCCAUGCAUCCAUCCACCCACAUCCAUCCAUCCAUCCAUCCAUCCAUCCAUCCAUCCAUCCAUCCAUCCAUCUAUUCAUCCACCAUAUCCAUCCAUCCAUCUAUCCAUCCACCAUAUCCAUCCAUCCAUCUAUUUAUCCACCAUAUCCAUCUUUCCAUCCAUCCAUCCAUCUAGCAUCCAUCUUGCAUCCAUUCAUGCAUCCAUCCAUGUAUCCAUCCAUCUAGCAUCCAUCUAGCAUCUAUCCAUCCAUGCAUUGGGCCUCCAUCUCUUGACUUGGUGCUUUGGGCCCCUCCCUCUCCUAAAAGCAACCCUCUUAUCCCAGGCAAGCUGUGUGGCACCAUGGGCUGUAGUCAUGAAGCAACCCCCCUGUCAUAGCCUCCAACUCCUAGGUCACUGCUCUGAGCACGCCCCAGCUGGAUCCCAUCACCACAGCUUUUUCUCCAUGAUGCUUCUCACACAUCACAUACCUCUCCUGUGAUCUCAGAGGGUCAGGUUCCCACCAUAAGCAGAGCUGCCUCCCCAGGCUUCACCCUGCCUGGUGCAUGGUCCCUGUCAUGAGCUUUGCCUUCAGCCUUGCAGCUUCUUCCACCAGGUGGCACUGGUUGUAACUCAUGUGCACAUUCCUUCACUCCUUCAUUCAUUCUCUUAUAGUCAGCAAGCAUCUUAAAAAAUUAGCUAGUGCUAUACUAGAGCUGGCUCACAAGGACUUCCUCCACUACUUCCCUUUGGAAGAAAAAAAAAGAUGGGGGCAUUUGUAAGGAAGCCAUGUUUGUGUGUUCAAUAAAGCGAGCUCCUUGAUUGCAUCUCAAACUUUAGAUCUGAGUUCUGUUGCAAGCUUGAUUGCUUCCUUCAACUUUGUUCCUUACAAAGCUAGGUUGAUUAGUAAUCAGCAAACUGUGUUCCCUGGGUGCUCAGAAAUCAUAGCCCAUAUCCUUAAGAGGCCCAAUGGGGAGUGGACAUUUGCACUAAGCAGUUGGUCCUGGCUGCGAGCAGGCUUUCAAGACAGUGAGACACCCUGAUCUUCUGCAGGGAUGAUCUGAGAGUCGUUCCAGCCACUUUGGAGCUUAGCUAAUGCUCGGCUCUUUUUAGAACAAAUUGCAGGAGGUGAUUGCUCGAACAGGUAACAAGGAUUGUGCCCUAGGCAGGGGCUCUUUCUGAGCAAUCCAUUCGCAGACCCAGGUGGGCAAGGCACAUGGCCCUUUGCAGGCCUUGAUCUCAGCCCUGUGCAUUUGAGUGGGUCCCAGGCUAGGGGGAAACUUUCUCCAGCUGUCUGCAGGGGAGGGGGAAGAGGCACAGGCCUCUUCUGACUUCUGACCUGGAAGGAGUAGGGAUCAUCAAAGCCAGGACCUGGAGCUGGACAAAUUGUGCUGUGGCUCUUCUCUGAGAGCUGGAGUGCCUUCUGUGGUGGGGACUGUGGCACCAACUCUCAGGGAUGUUGUGAGGAUUGGUGUAACUGGACUUUUGACUAUGCCUCUAGAAGGCAGUGUAUGUGUCUCUGGGGGUGUGACAGAACACUGGGAACCCUAGCCCCUGGGGGUGGGAGUGGCCGUGCUCUGGUAUAGUGGGAAGUAGUUUUUUGGGUCUUUUUGAUCAACAGAUAGAUGAUAAAUUUAUGUGCUAUUUUCAUAUAAACUAGGAAGUUUCACGGCAUGGGUUAGGGGAGUCUUUAGGUAGUACCUCUGCUCUUGCUCCCCCCUCGGACACAUCCACACCUCUUUGAAUGGUUGAGGAUGCCUUGUACUUGCUGACUGAGGACCAUGCCUCUGAGUCAGGCCUGUAUAUGGCACCUAACUUCAUCCCUUUCCAAAGUCUGUCCAGAAGUCUGUUACUGGGAGAGUAUUUGGCACGGUCUGGUAGACCAUUGUCCCCUUCCCAAUGUGCCCUCUCCUACCAACAGCAGCAGGCCAAACUGCCUGAGACCUGGUGCCUACCACAGUGCCUGGCCAGGGGUAGGGGCUCACCUACCUUCUUCUGUUUUGUCUUUGUAGAUAGAUAGGCAGCUAACAAAACUGUAACCCAGCCCAGGGCAGACGUUUAUGGUCGCAUAGAGAGGUUUGUGGAUAAUGUAUUGGAAUCUAAUCGCUCUUUGUACUUCUCUCUUCUCAACCUGUUAACCAAACCCCGUUGUAUUGUAGUAUGCUUUUGCACAGUGCCCUUACUAAGUAAAGGAAUGUCAGCUUUC